rnacentral:rRNA from 1 species
AUUGAACGCUGGCGGCAGGCUUAACACAUGCAAGUCGAGCGGGGGAAGGUAGCUUGCUACCGGACCUAGCGGCGGACGGGUGAGUAAUGCUUAGGAAUCUGCCUAUUAGUGGGGGACAACAUCUCGAAAGGGAUGCUAAUACCGCAUACGUCCUACGGGAGAAAGCAGGGGAACUUCGGACCUUGCGCUAAUAGAUGAGCCUAAGUCGGAAUAGCUAGUUGGUGGGGUAAAGGCCUACCAAGGCGACGAUCUGUAGAGGGUCUGAGAGGAUGAUCCGCCACACUGGGACUGGGACACGGCCCAGACUCCUACGGGAGGCAGCAGUGGGGAAUAUCGGACAAUGGGGGGAACCCUGAUCCAGCCAUGCCGCGUGUGUGAAGAAGGCCUUAUGGUUGUAAAGCACUUUAAGCGAGGAGGAGGCUACUUUAGUUAAUACCUAGAGAUAGUGGACGUUACUCGCAGGAUAAGCACCGGCUAACUCUGUGCCAGCAGCCGCCGUAA